rnacentral:rRNA from 1 species
UCCUACGGGAGGCAGCAGUGAGGAAUAUUGGUCAAUGGGCGAGAGCCUGAACCAGCCAAGUAGCGUGCAGGACGACGGCCCUAUGGGUUGUAAACUGCUUUUAUGCGGGGAUAAAGUGAGGGAUGCAUCCCUUUUUGCAGGUACCGCAUGAAUAAGGACCGGCUAAUUCCGUGCCAGCAGCCGCGGUAAU